UACGAGGGGUGCAAACGUUAUUCGGAUUUAUUGGGUGUAAAGGGUGUGUAGACGGUUUAUUAAGUUCGUUGUUAAAUCUUUCGGCUCAACCGGAAGCUUGCGGUGAAAACUGAUAGACUAGAGGAUGAAAGAGAGGAGUGGAAUUCUCGGAGUAGCGGUAAAAUGCGUAGAUCUCGAGAGGAACACCGAUGGCGAAAGCAGCUCCUUGGUUCAUUCCUGACGUUGAAACACGAAAGCGUGGGGAGCAAACAGG
rnacentral:rRNA from 1 species